CCUACGGGUGGCUGCAGUGGGGAAUAUUGGACAAUGGGCGAAAGCCUGAUCCAGCCAUGCCGCGUGUGUGAAGAAGGCCUUCGGGUUGUAAAGCACUUUCAGUGGGGAAGAAAGCCUUGGGGCUAAUACCCUCGAGGAAGGACAUCACCCACAGAAGAAGCACCGGCUAACUCCGUGCCAGCAGCCGCGGUAAUACGGAGGGUGCGAGCGUUAAUCGGAAUUACUGGGCGUAAAGCGCGCGUAGGCGGUCUGAUAAGCCGGUUGUGAAAGCCCCGGGCUCAACCUGGGAACGGCAUCCGGAACUGUCAAGCUAGAGUGCAGGAGAGGAAGGUAGAAUUCCCGGUGUAGCAGUGAAAUGCGUAGAGAUCGGGAGGAAUACCAGUGGCGAAGGCGGCCUUCUGGACUGACACUGACGCUGAGGUGCGAAAGCGUGGGUAGCAAACAGGAUUAGAUACCCGAGUAGUC
rnacentral:rRNA from 1 species